GAAAUGUGUACAAUGAAAGCUGCUAACUUAUCAUUUUAGCGGUUAAAAUCCGUUUACAUUUCU
rnacentral:tRNA from 1 species